CUUUUACGGAGAGUUCAGACAAACAAAGAAACAGAAGAAUAAAACUCUAGAAAUCGAAACGAUAAUGAUGUAUAUUGAGUCUGUAUGAUUUAUGAGUCUGUUUGAUUUACUAUAAUGUCUAUACAUGAUACAAACUUUCAAUUUUUUUUGUAGAAAUAAUAUAUGCCGUUUCUCUUUCAUUGCUACUUUCAUUAUGUUUGUGAAAGGGUUUGUUUCUUUAAAAUUUCUGAUGUUCCUCAAAAAUUUAUAAUGCAACACUUGGGAGAUUUGCAGUUGCCAAUAAUUACUCAUUUUUCAUGACUAAUUCAAUAUUUUAUGACACUAUAAUUAAGUUCUAACUAAAGAACAAGAGUUUAAUGGAUAUUGCUUAACUAAUAUUUUUAAAGGCACUAGACCGUAUGUUGUCAACAUUCAUCUUGUAGUUGUGAAAAAUAAGAACUACGAGUUGUUAAUUGUGAACAAAAUCUUAAGAAUUUCUUUCAUCCUCGCA
rnacentral:lncRNA from 1 species